rnacentral:rRNA from 1 species
AUUGAACGCUGGCGGCAGGCCUAACACAUGCAAGUCGAACGAGUGGCGGACGGGUGAGUAAUGUCUGGGAACCUGCCCGAUGGAGGGGGCUAACUACUGGAACCGGUAGCUAAUACCGCAUCCGAUCGGCUGUGCCCAGAUGGGCUUAGCUAGUGGGGGGGGUGACGGCUCACCUAGGCGACGAGCCCUAGCUGGUCUGAGAGGAUGACCAGCCACACUGGAACUGAGACACGGUCCAGACGCCUACGGGAGGCAGCAGGGGGGAAUAUUGCACAAUGGGCGCAAGCCUGAUGCAGCCAUGCCGCGUGUAUGAAGAAGGUCUUCGGGUUGUAAAGUACUUUCAGCGAGGAGGCGUUACUCGCAGAAGAAGCACCGGCUAACUCCGUGCCAGCAGCCGCGGUAAUAC